GGGAAUUUUACUUAGUCUUCAACAGACUCCAAUAUAAAAAAAAUGUAAAUACAAGGUAUACAGAUUCUUAUUGGGGUGGCAAUUGUUUCAAACGAAUAUCCACUUGUGGAUAUUUUACCUUUGUAGGAGGAAAUUUGGUUACAUGGCGUAGUAAGAAACAAAAGGUGGUUGCUCUGUCUAGUGCAGAAGCAAAGUAUAAAACUAUGGUUAAAUGCAUAUGUGAAUUAUUGUGGUUGAAAAGACUUAUGGAAUAACUGUGUUUCGGAUCUAAAGGGGCUAUGCAGCUUUAUUGUGAUAAUCAGUCAACGAUCAAAAUUGCAGAGAAUCCAGUGCAACAUGAUCGUACUAAGCAUGUAAAGAUCGAUAGUAAUUUUGUGUAUGAGAAAUUGGAAAAUAAUAUUAUGCAGAUUCCGCAUAUGAAGACUACAAAUCAACUGGCUGAUAUUCUGACAAACACCGUAUCUAGUGAAGCAUUCCAUGAUUCACUUGUCAAGUUGGGCAUUAAAGAUGUAUAUGCGCCACCUCGAGGGGAGUGUUGACAUGAAUCAUGUAAUUGAUUUAAAUUAGGAAUUGUAAUCCCGUAUUAGAUGAGAUUGUAAUUACUUUUUUUGUUGUUGUAUACUUAUACAUAUAUAAAUACCCUUCUAGAGAGAAGAAUAAAUCACUCUGAAUUAUUCUACCCUAAUACGUAUAUUUUCAAUGUCAUUUUGGCCAAGGAUGGAAUACCGUUGCCUAACUCCACCACAAAUCAUACCCAUUAUGAGCUUCAUGUCUAUGAGAAGCUUUGGGAGGUCUUUGGAAAUUAGUCUCUUUUCGUCAACUCGACAAUUAAACAAAAUUAAUUAUGUAUUUAAUAUAUUUAAAUUCCUCCCUAGUUAUAUAAAGACCCUUAUAUUGAGGGAUAUACUGAUUCUUUUAAAUAAUAUUAAUGGUGUUGACGUCUAAAAUUGAUUCAACAUAAGAUGACCUUUUCGAGAUUGAGGUCGGGCACUUCUUCCGAACUAGGUCAGCUUGACCAACAAAGUCGUCCUCCAGAACCUGCAAAGAAAAAGAGCUUCAGUGGGUGACACCAGUGUGUUGGACAUUUCAGUGAGUCUAAGUAGUAGUAAGUGUCUUUCUUUCAAAUCUCUGUGGAACAACCUCGUUCUUGCAUUCCUAUACUAUAAUUGGUCCGUGCUCUAGCGAGAAACAGAUAGAGUAAAAUCAAUCUAACAAGAAACUGGUGCAUUUAAUCUAUUUUGUGUUCGUCAUUUAGUUCAUUGAGCUCUAGAUAUCAUUGGAGGCAUUUGAUACAAAAUGAUGCAGAAAAUGUGCAAAACUGAUCACUAGGCUAGCAGCCUUGUUUUGUACAUACCAUCUUCAUGAGAUGUUAGAUCGAGGCUCACAACAUAUGGUUGGAAAGCUGAAAUUUUGGGCUUCAAGUGAUAGUGCUCAAAAGUCGCAUUUGGAGAUUUAAUGCCCAAGUUGAAAGCCCACGAAAUUUCUUGGUCAUGUUGGGAUAAGCAUGAGCUCUUGUUGCUGGGAACAAAGUUAGGUCUGCUAAUUUAUUGUUUACAGCUCAAGUGGAGCAUUAAUGAGCAUUCAUAAUGAAGAAGAUAGCAAGAGAUCACAUAUAAUACAAUCCAUGCAUGUUAAGGGCUGAUUGGGAUGAGAGGAAUAUGAGCUUAAAGACAAACCCAAUUUGGGCUACACUCCCUUGUCAGCCCAGUUUCGCAGGUCACAUUGCAUGCCUUAUUUCAGCAACCUAGACAGCUCGGAUGAGAAGACAUUCUUGAUAGAAGUUGUUCCAAUGAGUGUCUAUUAUAGCAUAUUCAAAUUUCAUCCCCAUCAGAUACAUCUAGAGUCGUCAUCACGUCAAACACUCAACCAAGUUCACAGAAAGUCCUAGUUGGCUGCUAUCACAUUUAAUGUUCCCACAUCCCUGUAGCCAUGUGCUACACAUAAAAGCAGCCACAUAUGGGAGACAAAUUAGCUUGGGAACUUCGAAAGGGGAACAAAAGUCAAGCUUACCAUGAGAAUACCAGGAAGAAUAGUCCAUCAAAAGCAUUUAUUGGGCAGCUGGAGUAGUUGGCACUUAAUAAGGCAGUUGGGCAGCUGUUGAGAGAGAUGUUCUACAACAACCAAAGGGAGAACGAAUUUGGCACUUUAUAAAUAGAGAGCUAUACACAUUCAUUCAUUUAUCUCCUAUAGAGUGAAAUUCGUUUUCCUCUUGGUUGGUGUAAAACAGCCAUCUCAGCAACUGCCCAACUGCCUCAUUAAUUGCCAACGGCUCCAACUGCCCCAUAAAUGCUUUGGUAGACUCGUCUUCUUGUUCUCCAAAUGGUAAGCAUGACUUUUGUUCUCCUUUCUAAGUUCCCAAGCUUAUUUGUCUCCCAUAUAUGGCUGCUCUUAUGUGCAGCACAUGGCUACAGGGAUGUGGCCACAUUAAAUGUGAUAGCAGCCAACCAAGACUUUCUGUGAACUUGGUUGAAUAUUUGACGUGCUAAGGACUCCAGAUAUCUCCAAUAGGGUGGAAAUUUGGAUAUGCUAUAAUAGAUACCCAUUGGAACAACUUCUAUUAAGAAUAUCUUCUCAUCCGAGCUGUCUAGGUUGCUGAAAGAAGGUUGUAAUGUGACCUACGAAAAUGGGCUAACAAGAGAGUGUAGCCCAAAUUGGGUUUGUCUUUAAGCUCAUAUGGAUUGCAUUGAAUGUGAUCUCUUACUGUCCUCUUCAUUAUGUCUACUCAUUAAUGCUCCACUUGAGUUGUAAAUAAUAAAUUAGUAGACCUAACUUUGUCUCCAGCAUGACCAAGCAACUUCGUGGGCUUUGGGCAUAAAAUCUCCAAAUGAGCCUUUCGAGCACUAUAAAUUGAAGCCCAUAAUUUUAGCUUUCCAACCAUAUGUCGUGAGCCUCAAUCUAGCAUCUCAUGAAGAUGGUACGUCCAAAACAAGGUUUCUGGUCCAGUGAUCAGUUUUGCACGUUUUUCUACAUCAUUUUGUAUCAAAUGCCUCCAAUGGUAACUAGAACUCAAUGAACCGAAUGACAAACACAAAAUAGAUUAAAAGCACAAGUUUCUUGUUAGAUUUAUUUUACUCUAUUUUUUUUUUCUCAAGUGCACGAACCAAUUAUAGUAUAGGAAUGCAAGAACAAGGUCGUUCCACAGAGAUUUGAAUGAAAGACACUUACUACUACUGAAUGAAUUACAGACACUUACUACUACUUAAACUCACAAUGAGGUUGAGUUUUGUUUGUUUGGAGUGAAAACUACUAAAAAGAAUGCAAAAUAAUAAAUUGACUAGCAAGUGAAUGUUUAGAAGAGUUUAGAGACAAUGAUAACAAGCACUAGGGGUUCAACUUCACCAUAACAAUCCAAUUCCAUGUUACAAGUUAAAAAACAUCAAAGUUGAUCAAUUCAGUUUCUGGAGUUCGUUCUUUCUUAAAUAUGAUUAUCGAUAUGGUGUUUGGUUUUAAUCAAGUAUUCAUAAUACAUAAUUUAGCUAUGGUGUUUAGCCUAAACUAUGAAUAUGAAUCCAUUAAGCUUAGAGAAGAACAAUAAGGAACCAAGUAAACAUUUAAACAUGGUGUUUGUCCUAAAUAUGGUGUCUAUGAAAACUUGAACUAUAUAACCAACAUGCAAGUGUCAAUAAUGGCCAACUAUUUAAACAUGCAUAAAGAUUCAACUAAGAACAAAUGAGUGAGACCAAAAACUAGAACUAAUCAACAAAAAGUAAAAUUAACUUGAAAACAUGAAACUCUCUUCUCAUGCUACAUUGAAACUCUAGCUAUGGUAAUUAGUAACACCCCAUUAAUGGAAGCAACAACAUUUGAAUCAUAAUAAACAUGAACGGUAUAAGAAAAACCCUUGAAAACGAAUUAUGAUGUUGAAGAGCUCCUCACAGCUUCUAACAUGUGUGCUUGCAGCCAGAGAUCAAGAGUAGUGUAGAUGGUAUUUCUGUGUUUCUGGUGGUUUCUCCUCUUCUCCUACUUGGUAUCAACGAAUUUCACUUUAUAAUAUGGCAUAUGAAUGUGUGGAGGGUGUGAAUGGAAGAUAAAUGAAUGAAUGUGUGUAGCUUUCUAUUUAUAGAGUGCCAAAUUCGUUCACCCCUUGGUUGGUGUGGAAUAGCCUUCUUAGCUGCUGCCCAACUACCUCAUUAAGUGCCAACUACUCCAGCUGCCCAAUAAAUGCUUU
rnacentral:lncRNA from 1 species